rnacentral:rRNA from 1 species
GACGAACGCUGGCGGCGUGCUUAACACAUGCAAGUCGAGCGGUAAAGGCCCUUUCGGGGGUACACGAGCGGCGAACGGGUGAGUAACACGUGGGUGACCUGCCCUCAGCUCUGGGAUAAGCCCGGGAAACUGGGUCUAAUACUGGAUAUGACUCCAUGACGCAUGUUGUGGGGUGGAAAGCCUUGUGCGGCUGAGGAUGGGCCCGCGGCCUAUCAGCUUGUUGGUGGGGGAUGGCCUACCAAGGCGACGACGGUAGCCGGCCUGAGAGGGCGACCGGCCACACUGGGACUGAGACACGGCCCAGACUCCUACGGGAGGCAGCAGUGGGGAAUCUUGCGCAAUGGGCGAAAGCCUGACGCAGCGACGCCGCGUGAGGGAUGACGGCCU